rnacentral:rRNA from 1 species
UACGUAGGGCGCAAGCGUUGUCCGGAAUUAUUGGGCGUAAAGCGUGCGCAGGCGGCUUUGCAAGACAGAUGUGAAAUCCCCGGGCUCAACCUGGGAACUGCAUUUGUGACUGCAUGGCUAGAGUGCGGCAGAGGGGGAUGGAAUUCCGCGUGUAGCAGUGAAAUGCGUAGAUAUGCGGAGGAACACCGAUGGCGAAGGCAAUCCCCUGGGCCUGCACUGACGCUCAUGCACGAAAGCGUGGGGAGCAAACAGG